CGGGGUUUAGUGCCGCAGCUAACGCAUUAAGCACUCCGCCUGGGGAGUACGACCGCAAGGUUGAAACUCAAAGGAAUUGACGGGGGCCCGCACAAGCGGUGGAGCAUGUGGUUUAAUUCGAAGCAACGCGAGGAACCUUACCAGGUCUUGACAUCCCUCUGACCGCUCUAGAGAUAGAGUUUUCCUUCGGGACAGAGGUGACAGGUGGUGCAUGGUUGUCGUCAGCUCGUGUCGUGAGAUGUUGGGUUAAGUCCCGCAAUGAGCGCAACCCCUAUUGUUAGUUGCCAUCAUUCAGUUGGGCACUCUAGCGAGACUGCCGGUAAUAAACCGGAGGAAGGUGGGGAUGACGUCAAAUCAUCAUGCCCCUUAUGACCUGGGCUACACACGUGCUACAAUGGCUGGUACAACGAGUCGCAAGCCGGUGACGGCAAGCUAAUCUCUUAAAGCCAGUCUCAGUUCGGAUUGUAGGCUGCAACUCGCCUACAUGAAGUCGGAAUCGCUAGUAAUCGCGGAUCAGCACGCCGCGGUGAAUACGUUCCCGGGCCUUGUACACACCGCCCGUCACACCACGAGAGUUUGUAACACCCGAAGUCGGUGAGGUAACCAUUNGGAGCCAGCCGCCUAA
rnacentral:rRNA from 1 species